rnacentral:sRNA from 2 species
GGUGUGUGCAAGUCGAGGGCUGUAGGUGUGCUAACCUACCUCACUCGAAUGUAAUAGAGCGUCUUGGGGAGGUAGUUAUAAACUUUUAUGAUACAUCACAGUAUUGUGUGACUAACUUAAAGAAGUUUUGUAAUGGGAAGCUGCUCCACCAUUUUAGGUCAAACCUUCAAUAUUUGGCAUACAAAAUCGGAGAAAUAUGUAUCGAAAGUAGACCCUCAGUAAGUGGGCAAUAGGGGAUUCAGGCAUGGUGCCAAAAUUGACCAUACUCUAUUCAUAGUUGUGAUGACCUAUUUACUGACUGACUCCUGUUGAAAGUUCCUUACUGUCCUUGAUGCGGAGAAGAUAUGAUAGAAGGAAUGAUCUCAAGUGAUCUUGUCUUAUUGGAGAUCUGGAACUAAAAUGUUUCUAACUGCACCCUCCUUCUGAGGGUUUGGUAUAGAAGAAGGGCUCGCUACCCUCGACUGAAGGCAUACAACAAAUAUAAACCGGCA